AAAGUUAUAGAUGACGAUAAGAUGGUUCACUUCAUUCUAAACGGCCUUGAUUUUGAUUAUAAUCCUUUUGUAUCAUCGAUGCUUUGUCGUGUUGGCUUUCUCUCCUUGAGCGAGUUGUAUUCUCAGCUUCUUACUUAUGAUC
rfam:Setaria italica strain Yugu1 chromosome VI, whole genome shotgun sequence.